rnacentral:lncRNA from 1 species
CAUACCUUGACGUGAUUGGUCCAUGCCGGCACACCUGAUGCUCACAGAGAAGAAUAUUUGGAUCUGUGCUGCUCUUCAUAUAGUACUGGACAUAUCAUUUACUGAGAAAUAAAGAGGUGAGGACUGAUAACUUGGAGUAAUCACUCUAACAGGUUCUACGUAGAGGGGAGAGAAAGGAACAAGUGAGACAGAGAAGGGAGGACAGAGAGAGGGAGAGAAGAGAAGAACUCUUAGCCACCCCACUUAAACAUCCUUGGGCGUUUCUCUUAGCAGUUCUGUGUCUCAUUGUAGAAGAGAGCACAAGUAGGCUACAGAUUCUCAAAGAAAGCACUGUCUUUGUACUAUUCUCCACAUCCCACUGUAGCUCUUAAAUUCCCCGGGGCUGGACUUCAUACAGAACAGCAAGGCUCAACCAACCUCUCCUCAUAAACAGACAGUGAAGAACAGGUCCAAGUCAACAGAUGAGAUUCAACAAGCCAAAAAGGCUUUUCACACGACACAGAAAUCGUUGCCAGGGAAGCCGGAGACUGAGAAUAAGGAGCCCCCAGAGAGUCCAUCCUCAUCAGAAGAACUGAAAUGAAGGGGCAGACAGCGCCAGGCAGAGAGUCAGAGUCAUGGGCUACAUCAAUCAUUCCUCUGGAAAUCUAUUCAGUUUUCUGCAGUUUGUAUUCUCAUAACGAAAAAAGGCUGUACAUUUUUUGUAAACGUCUUAUGAAUGUGGUUGUUUACUAAAUAAGAAAAAGUGUAAAAUGCAUUGUUUGUGAGAAUAUAAUGUUCAAAGAAUGACGAGAGACUUACUCUACAAAACACAGACACUUAACAGAAAGCUGUAAUUCAGUGAGUGGAAAACAUGUGCAUGUGCCAGUUGGGAUGUGUGUAAGUAUGAGGUAUAGUGAAUUUGUUAUGUACACUCUCCUAAAACAUUUAGUUUUUUGGAACUGAUGUCAGAAUUAAUGUCUGUAUGCCACUUUGAAAAUGUGAAGCAAUUGAACGUGUAAAUAAAACUUGUGUAUGUCAAAAAAA